CCUACGGGAGGCAGCAGUGAGGAAUAUUGGUCAAUGGACGAGAGUCUGAACCAGCCAAGCAGCGUGAAGGAUGACUGCCUUAUGGGUUGUAAACUUCUUUUAUAAAGGAAUAAAAAGAGGCACGGGUGCCUUUUUGUAUGUACUUUAUGCAUAAGGAUCGGCUAACCCCGCGCCAGCAGCCGCGGUAAUACGGAGGAUCCGAGCGUUAGCCGGAUGUAUUGGGUUUAAAGGGAGCGUAGAUGGGUUGUUAAGUCAGUUGUGAAAGUUUGCGGCUCAACCGUAAAAUUGCAAUUGAUACUGGCAGUCUUGAGUACAGUUGAGGUAGGCGGAAUUCGUGGUGUAGCGGUGAAAUGCUUAGAUAUCACGAAGAACACCGAUUGCGAAGGCAGCUUACUAAACUGCCACUGACAUUGAUGCUCGAAAGUGUGGGUAUCAAACAGGAUUAGAUACCCUGGUAGUC
rnacentral:rRNA from 1 species